GGGCCCAUAGUUUAACGGUAAAACGAACCCAUGGCAUGGGUUAGGUCGGGGUUCAAUUCCCCGUGGGUCCA
rnacentral:tRNA from 1 species